UACAGAGGUCUCAAGCGUUGUUCGGAUUCAUUGGGCGUAAAGGGCGCGUAGGCGGCGCGACAAGUCACUUGUGAAAUCUCUGGGCUCAACCCAGAACGGUCAAGUGAUACUGUCGUGCUAGAGUGCGGAAGGGGCAACUGGAAUUCUUGGUGUAGCGGUGAAAUGCGUAGAUAUCAAGAGGAACACCUGCGGCGAAAGCGGCUCUCUGGGACGGUACUGACGCUGAGACGCGAAAGCGUGGGGAGCAAACAGG
rnacentral:rRNA from 1 species